rnacentral:tRNA from 2 species
GCCCCCAUCGUCUAGGGGCCCAGGACGUGGCCCUCUCAAGGCCAAAACCGGGGUUCGAAUCCCCGUGGGGGCACCA